UACGUAGGGUGCAAGCGUUAAUCGGAAUUACUGGGCGUAAAGCGUGCGCAGGCGGUUUUGUAAGUCAGAUGUGAAAUCCCCGGGCUUAACCUGGGAACUGCGUUUGAAACUACAAGGCUAGAGUGUGGCAGAGGGGGGGUGGAAUUCCACGUGUAGCAGUGAAAUGCGUAGAGAUGUGGAGGAACACCGAUGGCGAAGGCAGCCCCCUGGGCCAACACUGACGCUCAGGCACGAAAGCGUGGGGAGCAAACAGG
rnacentral:rRNA from 1 species